UGGGGUGUUUAGGAGCUUUCUGUAAUUCAUGUAAAACCAAACGAGAGAAACUCUUGUUCAAAAUGCAGGUGGAAACAAUUGUAACUCACGACUUGUCAUUGCUAAGCAAUUCAAGGAGUUGGGACCACCGGAGUUUUUGGGAAAGCCAGAGCCACUAAAGGCAGAGAUAUGGAUUAAGCAGAUUACUAAGAUAUUUGAUGUCUUGGGAUGCACUAAAGAGC
rnacentral:lncRNA from 1 species